rnacentral:sRNA from 1 species
CAUUACAGAGUUCCUGCCCUCACGGGUAGAAACCCCACCCUUGUGUAUAUUAUAUUGUUGCUUUAGCAGGUCGCCCUCUGGGGCGUCGGCCUCGGCUGACUGUGCCUGCUAGAGGACCCUAAACUUUGAAAUACAGUGUCGUCUGAGUACUAUUGAAUAGUUAAAACUUUCAACAACGGAUCUCUUGGUUCUGGCAUCGAUGAAGAACGCAGCGAAAUGCGAUAAGUAAUGUGAAUUGCAGAAUUCAGUGAAUCAUCGAAUCUUUGAACGCACAUUGCGCCCCUUGGUAUUCCGGGGGGCAUGCCUGUUCGAGCGUCAUUUAGACCAACUCCCGCUCCGGCGGGGUCUUGGGCUGCGCCUUUGGGCGGGCCUUAAAACCAGUGGCGGUGCCCUAAGGCUCUACGCGUAGUAAUUCUUCUCGCGAUAGGGUCCUUGCGGUGUCUUGCCAGCAACCCCCAACUCUCUAGGGUUGACCUCGGAUCAGGUAGGGAUACCCGCUGAACUUAAGCAUAUCAUA